UACCCAGAGGAUUUGAGACAGUUCAGAUCCAAAUUCAAAUUUCAACCUUGUGGCUUGGAUCCAACUCUUACAUUUUCAACACUAGACCUGUACAUGUUGUUGGGAAUAUCAAUGGAUUGCUCACAGGUUACUCAAUCCAUAUAAUACUCCCAAAUAUGUGGGUUGGCACAUACCAGAUGAAAUUACUACCUGAAAAAAUAAAAAAAAGUAUAUGAGAAAAUAACAGA